AGUGAACGCUGGCGGUAGGCCUAACACAUGCAAGUCGAACGGCAGCACAGUAAGAGCUUGCUCUUACGGGUGGCGAGUGGCGGACGGGUGAGGAAUACAUCGGAAUCUACUUUUUCGUGGGGGAUAACGUAGGGAAACUUACGCUAAUACCGCAUACGACCUACGGGUGAAAGCAGGGGAUCUUCGGACCUUGCGCGAUUGAAUGAGCCGAUGUCGGAUUCGCUAGUUGGCGGGGUAAAGGCCCACCAAGGCGACGAUCCGUAGCUGGUCUGAGAGGAUGAUCAGCCACACGGGAACUGAGACACGGUCCAGACUCCUACGCGGGGCAGCAGUGGGGAAUAUUGGACAAUGGGCGCAAGCCUGAUCCAGCCAUACCGCGUGGGUGAAGAACGCCUUCUGGUUGUAAAGCCCUUUUGUUGGGAAAGAAAAGCAGCAGGUUAAUACCCCGCUGUUCUGACGGUACCCAAAGAAUAAGCACCGGCUAACUUCGUG
rnacentral:rRNA from 1 species